GGUCAGUGUGGAGGUUAUAUACAGGAGGUACCGGGUCAGUGUGGAGGUUAUAUACAGGAGGUACCGGGUCAGUGUGGAGGUUAUAUACAGGAGGUACCGAGUCAGUGUGGAGGUUAUAUACAGGAGGUACCGAGUCAGUGUGGAGGUUAUAUACAGGAGGUACCGGUACAGAGUCAGUGUGGAGGUUAUAUACAGGAGGUACCGGUACAGAGUCAGUGUGGAGGUUAUAUACAGGAGGUACCGGGUCAGUGUGGAGGUUAUAUACAGGAGGUACCGGUACAGAGUCAGUGUGGAGGUUAUAUACAGGAGGUACCGGUACAGAGUCAGUGUGGAGGUUAUAUACAGGAGGUACCGGUACAGAGUCAGUGUGGAGGUUAUAUACAGGAGGUACCGGGUCAGUGUGGAGGUUAUAUACAGGAGGUACCGGUACAGAGUCAGUGUGGAGGUUAUAUACAGGAGGUACCGGGUCAGUGUGGAGGUUAUAUACAGGAGGUACCGGUACAGAGUCAGUGUGGAGGUUAUAUACAGGAGGUACCGGGUCAGUGUGGAGGUUAUAUACAGGAGGUACCGGUACAGAGUCAGUGUGGAGGUUAUAUACAGGAGGUACCGGGUCAGUGUGGAGGUUAUAUACAGGAGGUACCGGUACAGAGUCAGUGUGGAGGUUAUAUACAGGAGGUACAGAGUCAGUGUGGAGGUUAUAUACAGGAGGUACCGGGUCAGUGUGGAGGUUAUAUACAGGAGGUACCGAGUCAGUGUGGAGGUUAUAUACAGGUGGUACCGAGUCAAUGUGGAGGUUAUAUACAGGAGGUACCGAGUCAGUGUGGAGGUUAUAUACAGGAGGUACCGGUACAGAGUCAGUGUGGAGG